GGCCAGACUCCUACGGGAGGCAGCAGUGAGGAAUAUUGGUCAAUGGGCGGGAGCCUGAACCAGCCAAGCCGCGUGAAGGAAGAAGGCGCCAGGCGUCGUAAACUUCUUUUGUCGGGGAACAAAGGGCGCCACGCGUGGCGUUGUGAGUGUACCCGAAGAAAAAGCAUCGGCUAACUCCGUGCCAGCAGCCGCGGUAAUACGGAGGAUGCGAGCGUUAUCCGGAUUUACUGGGUGUAAAGGGCGUGCAGCCGGGCUGACAAGUCAGAUGUGAAAUCCCGCGGCUCAACCGCGGAACUGCAUUUGAAACUGUCAGUCUUGAGUACCGGAGAGGUCAUCGGAAUUCCUUGUGUAGCGGUGAAAUGCGUAGAUAUAAGGAAGAACACCAGUGGCGAAGGCGGAUGACUGGACGGCAACUGACGGUGAGGCGCGAAAGCGUGGGGAGCAAACAGGAUUAGAUACCCUCGUAG
rnacentral:rRNA from 1 species